rnacentral:rRNA from 1 species
AUUGAACGCUGGCGGCAUGCCUUACACAUGCAAGUCGAACGGUAACAGGUUAAGCUGACGAGUGGCGAACGGGUGAGUAAUACAUCGGAACGUGCCCAGACGUGGGGGAUAACGUAGCGAAAGCUACACUAAUACCGCAUACGAACUGAGGUUGAAAGCGGGGGACCGUAAGGCCUCGCGCGUUUGGAGCGGCCGAUGGCAGAUUAGGUAGUUGGUGGGGUAAAGGCUUACCAAGCCUGCGAUCUGUAGCUGGUCUGAGAGGACGACCAGCCACAUUGGGACUGAGACACGGCCCAGACUCCUACGGGAGGCAGCAGUGGGGAAUUUUGGACAAUGGGCGCAAGCCUGAUCCAGCAAUGCCGCGUGCAGGAUGAAGGCCUUCGGGUUGUAAACUGCUUUUGUACGGAGCGAAACGGCUUCCACUAAUACUGGGGGCUAAUGACGGUACCGUAAGAAUAAGCACCGGCUAACUACGUGCCAGCCGCCGCUGUAAAAC